GAUGAACGCUAGCGGCAGGCUUAAUACAUGCAAGUUGAGGGGCAGCAUGAUAUACGCGAGUAUAUUGAUGGCGACCGGCGGACGGGUGAGUAAUAGGUAGGAGACCUACCUCAUACAGGGGGAUAGCAUAGAGAAAUCUGUGGUAAUACCCCAUGAGGUUAUAUGAAUAGAGGCAUAUAAUCAAAGCAUAAGCGAUUAUGCGGUAUGAGAGGGGCCUACUGACCAUUAGCUAGUUGGUGAGGUAAGGGCUCACCAAGGCGAAAGAUGGUUAGGGGUUUUGAGAGAGAGACCCCCCACAUUGGAACUGAGAGACGGUCCAGACUCCUACGGGAGGCAGCAGUAGGGAAUAUUGGGCAAUGGGCGAAAGCCUGACCCAGCCAUGCCGCGUGAAGGAAGACGGCCUUAUGGGUUGUAAACUUCUUUACUACGCGAAUAGAGGUUAGUACGAGAUACUAAUAGGAAGGUAGUGUAAGUAAAAGCACCGGCUAACUCCGUG
rnacentral:rRNA from 1 species